AUGGGCGCAGCCUGAUCAGCAUACCGCGUGUGUGAAGAAGGCCUGAGGGUUGUAAAGCACUUUUAAUCGGGAGGAACACCUGUCGGCCAAUACCCGGCAGCUUGACAUUACCUAUAGAAAAAGCACCGGCUAACUCCGUGCCAGCAGCCGCGGUAAUUAGGAGGGUGCCAGCGUUAAUCGGAAUUACUGGGCGUAAAGCGUGCGUAGGCGGCCGUUUAAGUCAGAUGUGAAAGCCCCGGGCUUAACCU
rnacentral:rRNA from 1 species